rnacentral:lncRNA from 1 species
AGCAACUGCAAAAAUUAGAGAAAAGAAAAGUUGUUUUGCAAAAGUUAGACCAUUCAUAAUCGACGCACUUUGGAUUGCACCCAACCAGUGAAGGCAAGAGGGAACACAAUUUGUAAGUUUUAGGGCUCUCUAUGAGGUCACUGCUAAUUCUAUUUUAAUAGCAGACCUCCAGAAGAUUAUUAAUUUUUCAACAAUAAGCCUGAAAAGAAAAGAAACACUAAUUUCAUUCUCCCUGGAUGCCUAUAAACAUUCAUUAUUUUAAGCCUUUCUGUUCUCCUUUUCUAUUAUACUACAUUUUUUUUUUCAAGGCCAGAGACAGGCCUACUCUUUCUAUAUGCCAAGAGCAAAGCUGAUUUGGGCGGUAGUGACAUUCACCCGAUGUCACUCUCCUGUACUUCUUUGGAAAGGGGUUCAGGUGAAUGCCUCACAGCCAUAAAGUAUUAUAGAUUAACCAUUGUUUUCCAGUAGCCUGGCAUAGUUCCUGGAACAGUGAUUUCCACUAAAGUUUAUUUAAGGGAAAAUUUAAAAUAGAGGAAGAUACAUAAAGAUAUUAGGAGUUGUCACAGAAAUUUAACAACAGGAGAAUAGAAUAACAACAGGAGAAAAGUAAACCCAGCAUGUUAGCACAUGCUCACAUAUUGUAGUUAAAAUAAGAUUUAAAAAUAUUCCAACUGGAGAUGAAAUAGCUAAUAAGAGUUUAUUUGUCAUACACACAAGAAAAAAAAAAAGUAAAGUAUGAAAGAGUCCAGGACCAGACUAGAAUAAUAGCUCCAUGUCCACCAGAGACAUAGACUCUUUCUGUGAUUGCUAGGAUGUAGCCUUCAUCAUCAUACUCCAAAAAGGCUGCUGGAGUUCCAGCUAUCACAGCCACAUUUGAAGCAUCAGUAUCAGAAAAGUGGAAGGGAAGAAAGAGACUUCCCAUGAUUUCUAUACAACACAUUUUCUUACUUUUCACUACCAAGAACUUAAUCACCUACUUCAGUCAAAUACAAAGAAGGCUAUUGCCCAGUCAUAGGCUUCAUAACAGAGGAGCUAUAUGUUUAGCAACAGGAUACUAAGGUUAAUAACUCUAAAUAUAAAAAUGUUUAGGAGCUGACAGAGGAUUCCAUGUGUGCAUGUAUUCUGAGAGGGAGGAAGGAGGACAGAGGAGUGAGCUGGCUCUUAGAAACCGAAAGCUUAAAGUAGCAAGAGGAGCAUCCAGCUCAUCUGGGGCCUGCUCUGACAGAAACAGAUGCACUUAUGGACAAAGUAAGGCAGAAUAAAUUAAAGGUAAACAGACAAUUUUCAAAUCGUCAUUGUUGGUAUUGCCCAGUCUGGUUUACCAUAGAGAAACAUAAAGAGAUUCAGGCAGGAGGUUCAAGUCUAAGUGAAGAUUCAGCUGACAGCCUCGUGUUCCUGUGUGCUAAAUCUCUUUGAACUUGACUAUGACAAAGAGGGUAAAAAAGAGAGAUACCCUGACUCUGGGCUCAGGGGGAGCCCAGUGCUGCCUCUCUCUCCUGCCUAUACCUAUUGUUUAUCAUAUAUACCCUCAUUCUAGAUCAGUUCUCUCCCAGGCAUUCUGUAGCCCUGAAUAGUGUGACACGUAUGUUUGUAAUGAUAAUUUUCAGCCAAUAGUUGUGACUGAAUGAGAAAUGGCCACCACCAUCUGCACCCCCACACUCCUCUACCACACUCUCACACACUCCUUAUCUCAGAGCAAGCAGGUUUCUGGGAAUUAAUCCAUCAAAUAUUUUGAAGGAAGACUCUACAGCCUGGUAACACGGCUUAUCUUACCCCAGUGCAUAUUCAUUGCUAUGGUAGCCAUAGCUGGGGAAAAAGUAUCACCUAGGACCUCCUAUUUCCUGUCAGGGAGAGGAGGGGAGUCAAAGAAAACCAACAACCAAGGAAUAUAGUGCCAGGAUGAGAUUCCUAGACAUCUCUGCCCUCAAGGAAAAAAGCAGUGAGGCAGAGAGCAGCAGUGCUAUUGUGAGGAAAAUCAUUUACUGAACCCCUGCUGACCACAGCUCCAGUCCCAAAUUAAGAAUAGAUGAAAAUGGAAAUAGCUAAGUUGGUAGGUAAGGCAUGUUUGGGUUUGUUUGUUUUUGGUAUGAUGGAAGGGAGGUGAGAUAUUAACUAUGACUAUAUAUUUCAUCUCUAAUCUCUCCCUUUCUACAGUAAACACUGGGAAUAAUCCAAAGCACAAAAGGGUGUGGACCAGUAGCCUUUUAAAGGAAUUUUAUAAAAUGUAUCUAUUCUCAGUGCCCUUCAGCAGGUUUCUGAGGCCUCUGACUUCUUCAGGUACUUUGGCUCAGAAAAUUAUUAAUCUUGGUGCUUUUAGUUUAGUGCCCACCCCAUGGCUUAUGAUGCAUUGCCAGAGUUUUGAAUAACUCAAAGUUUUGUGUAAGACCCAUUCUCUCCUUUACCCCUGAGUCUUUCUUUUGUGGGACAAAGAAAAUCAAGAAUUCUCUGAACAUAUUCUCUUCUGUCUAUGUAUUCCUGGAAGGAUUAUAAUAGUCAGGACUUCCACAUUUUUCUUCAUAACUCAAUCUCAACUUAUCUCCAAUGAAUCAAAGGGUGGUAGGGUUUUUAAGAGGUGGAAUAGGGUGCAAGGAUCAUAGGAUAUCUGGGGUGAGGUCAAGGGCCAAGGGGCAGAAAGAAGCCUGCCCAAACUCUAGUCAAGUUGAGGGAAACACUAAGUCCAUCUUGGUCAAUUCUUACCAUAACUCCACGGAGUCAUGCAUUAAUAUGCCCAUUUUAGGGUAGAAGACCUAAACAGACAAUGUCCAAAGAAGACACUAGAUAGCCAACACACACAUGAAAAGUUGCUCAAUAUCGCCAAUUAUCAUGUUUCAUUGUAAUACCCCUCCCCCCACCUUGAGCAACCUGGGCUGAAAAUGAGUGGGGCUCAGGGCAGGAAAAUUCAGGUC